rnacentral:rRNA from 2 species
CGGCGGAACACGUGAAAUUCCGUCGGAAUCCGGGAGGACCAUCUCCCAAGGCUAAAUACUCCCUAGUGACCGAUAGUGAACCAGUACCGUGAGGGAAAGGUGAAAAGCACCCCGGAAGGGGAGUGAAACAGUUCCUGAAACCGUGUGCCUACAAGUAGUUAGAGCCCGUUAAUGGGUGAUAGCGUGCCUUUUGUAGAAUGAACCGGCGAGUUACGAUUUGUUGCAAGGUUAAGCGGAAAAAGCGGAGCCGUAGCGAAAGCGAGUCUGAAUAGGGCGCAUAAGUAACAGGUCGUAGACCCGAAACCAGGUGAUCUACCCAUGUCCAGGAUGAAGGUAAGGUAAUACUUACUGGAGGUCCGAACCCACGCACGUUGAAAAGUGCGGGGAUGAGGUGUGGGUAGCGGAGAAAUUCCAAUCGAACUUGGAGAUAGCUGGUUCUCUCCGAAAUAGCUUUAGGGCUAGCCUCGAGGUAAAGAGUCAUGGAGGUAGAGCACUGUUUGGACUAGGGGCCCUUCUCGGGUUACCGAAUUCAGAUAAACUCCGAAUGCCAUGUACUUAUACUCGGGAGUCAGACUGCGAGUGAUAAGAUCCGUAGUCGAAAGGGAAACAGCCCAGACCACCAGUUAAGGUCCCCAAAUAUAUGUUAAGUGGAAAAGGAUGUGGGGUUGCUUAGACAACCAGGAUGUUGGCUUAGAAGCAGCCACCAUUGAAAGAGUGCGUAAUAGCUCACUGGUCGAGUGACCCCGCGCCGAAAAUGUACCGGGGCUAAACAUAUUACCGAAACUGUGGAUGAACCUCUUUAGAGGUUCGUGGUAGGAGAGCGUUCUAAGGGCGGUGAAGUCAGACCGGAAGGACUGGUGGAGCGCUUAGAAGUGAGAAUGCCGGUAUGAGUAGCGAAAGAAGGGUGAGAAUCCCUUCCACCGAAUAUCUAAGGUUUCCUGAGGAAGGCUCGUCCGCUCAGGGUUAGUCGGGACCUAAGCCGAGGCCGAUAGGCGUAGGCGAUGGACAACAGGUAGAGAUUCCUGUACCAGUGCUAAUUGUUUAACCGAUGGGGUGACACAGAAGGAUAGGGAAUCGCACGAAUGGAAAUGUGCGUCCAAGCAGUGAGUGUGAG